UACGUAGGGUGCAGGCGUUAAUCGGAAUUACUGGGCGUAAAGCGUGCGCAGGCGGUUUGCUAAGACAGGUGUGAAAUCCCCGGGCUUAACCUGGGAACUGCGCUUGUAACUGGCAAGCUAGAGUGUGGCAGAGGGGGGUGGAAUUCCACGUGUAGCAGUGAAAUGCGUAGAUAUCAGGAGGAACACCGAUGGCGAAGGCAGGUCUCUGGGCAUUAACUGACGCUGAGGCGCGAAAGCGUGGGGAGCAAACAGG
rnacentral:rRNA from 1 species